AACGAACGCUGGCGGCAGGCCUAACACAUGCAAGUCGAGCGCACCCUUCGGGGUGAGCGGCGGACGGGUGAGUAACGCGUGGGAACGUGCACUUCUCUGCGGAAUAGCCACGGGAAACUGAGAGUAAUACCGCAUACGACCUUUGGGGGAAAGAUUUAUCGGAGAAGGAUCGGCCCGCGUUGGAUUAGGUAGUUGGUAGGGUAAUGGCUCACUAAGCCAACGAUGCAUAGCUGGCUCGAGAGGGUGAUAAGCCACACUGGAACUGAGACACGGGCCAGACUCGUACGGGAGGCAGCAGUAGGGAAUCUUCCGCAAUGGGGGAAAGCCUGAUGGAGAAAGGACGCGUGAGUGAUGAAGGUCUUCGGAUCGUAAAACUCUGUUAUUAGGGAAGAAAAUAUGUGUCAGUAACUGUGCACAUCCUGACGGUGCCUAAUAAGAGAGCCACGGCUAGCUACGUG
rnacentral:rRNA from 1 species